rnacentral:rRNA from 1 species
UACGAAGGGGGCUAGCGUUGCUCGGAAUCACUGGGCGUAAAGCGCACGUAGGCGGAUAUUUAAGUCGGUGGUGAAAUCCUGGAGCUCAACUCCAGAACUGCCUCCGAUACUGAAUGUCUUCGAGUCCGGGAGAGGUGAGUGGAACUGCGAGUGUAGAGGUGAAAUUCGUAGAUAUUCGCAAGAACACCUGAGGCGAAGGCGGCUUGCUGGGCCUGGUCUGACGCUGAGGCGCGAAAGCGUGGGGAGCAAACAGG